rnacentral:rRNA from 1 species
UACAGAGGUCCCAAGCGUUGUUCGGAUUCACUGGGCGUAAAGGGUGCGUAGGUGGCCAGGUAAGUUUGGUGUGAAAGCUCGGAGCUUAACUCCGAAAAGUCAUUGAAUACUAUCUGGCUGGAGGGUCGGAGGGGAGACUGGAAUUCUCGGUGCAGCAGUGAAAUGCGUAGAUAUCGAGAGGAACACCAGUGGCGAAGGCGAGUCUCUGGACGACUCCUGACACUGAGGCACGAAAGCUAGGGGAGCAAACAGG